CGGAGACGGGGUUGGCGCCGGAUUGGCGCGCCGCUUCUGUCUCCUCUCUGAGUCGUCUCAGUAGUCUCAGUAUCCUCGUCUAUUGCAAUGCGUUGCGUGGUUGCGUUCGUUGCGCGGGUUGCGUGUCUUGAAGUUUUAUAAGUUUCAUGUUCAUGCGCGUCUUCGGUGGUGUUGACGCCGGCUCCGUGCACGAAGUGACGCUUGGAAGGCGGAAUAUUCAUGGAGCUGCGGAGACGGACAACGGGCGCCAGUUAACGAAUCCCGGAUCACUUCUCCCGCCUCUUCACUCCAGUUGACAGCCACACUCGGGGAAACGAAGGUGCCGCUGUGGUCUGGCGCCUCACCGCUCGUGAUGGAAAAAUCAACAGCGGCGUUCGCCCUGUCAACGAGGCAGUGGGUCCUACAUUUUCUUUGGUUGGACAAGACGACGUAGGAAAAGAGAUACCGUUUUUCAUGGUGCUCACGCUGAACAGGAGCGACAAUCUAGCAAGCCAUAAGUCUGAUGCCUCCAGCCGUCACCACUUUUUGAUUUUUUCUUAAUCAUAAGGAAUAAAGAUUGAAACAUGAUGCCCAUUCCUGCAGUUUAUUUUGCUCUAUACGACACUAUGCACAUCAGUCACACAUUUUAGUUGGCUAUACUCAUACAAGCAUGUAAAUAAGGAAUGCCUCAACUGCUUAAUUGGAAAUCACAGACCAUCUUUUCGCGCUUUCUAGAUUACUCUGCUGGAAAAGGUGUGUUGUUUUGACGAGUUUCAUUAAAAUAAUGCUAAAAGUGAACUACUCUUUUUUUGCAGUCGCUGGGCAGAACGGCAAGUAUUAUUGGACUUGCUUAAAAUGAAUACUCCACUAUUUUCAACAGUAGUCGCGCAAAAGUAGAGCAAGGAUCAAAUGAGUAGCUUAAAAUACUUGUGGAGUCGCUUGACGCUUCGGUGUGGGUCACUUGACCCCCGUAGGAGUGUUACCGGCAAGAGUCGUCUGACUCCCUAUAAGUGGUAACGUUAUCCUUCGGAUGAGAGUCUUUCCACUCUUCCUAGAGGGUCAGGGGGCUCUCCUAGAGCGAGUCGACCCUGACCCACCAAGAGAGUCACCGUGACUAUUUAAAGAGAGUCCUAUAGGUGGCAAGUCAGAACUUCCCGAAAAGAGUCACGCAUACUCUUUUUUUUUUCUUAGAGUGUAAUGGUGCACAGAAUGACACGUUGCUUAAAGUGAAUGUAAGGUGAAAACACUUGCCUGUAGAGGGCCAGUAGCCGUUGUAACAGCGCUGCAACAGCGCUGUUGCAGCAUAAGGGUAACGCACUUAUUAUUGUACAAGUGCCAUACACUGGACACUUUCGAUCGUCAGUAUCACGAUCGAAAGUGCCCAACGUGACCGAGAUUAUGCAUGGCACACUCACUACGUUAACAUGCCAGCUGGGUCGCGCGAAUUGCUCAAUAGGUGCUGUCACGAGCACAUUAUAGAUACAUCUAACCUUCAAUGUGUUCCGUUUGCAUCUACGGCGCAUGUUAAAAACUAAAGAUUCACCCGCCUGUGCGAUAAGUGCUGUCACCAACGCUAGUGCAUUCUCGCGCUUUCUGACGGCGCUGAUUUUACAGGCGACAUUGUACGCAACUCGUCAGCGUUGCUCUCAUCGAUUAGAAAUGCAUAUGCGUCACAUUAAAUGAUAACAAACAAUAAGCGCGGGCGCUGCCA